rnacentral:tRNA from 1 species
UCUUUGGUGGUUUAGUGGUUAGAAUUUCCGCUUGUCAUUUGGCAAUGCGCGGGAGACCGGGGUUCGAUUCCCCGCCAGAGAG